CGCGCGCGGCUGGGCCCCCCCCCAAAGCUUGGUGCGCACUUCUGCUGCUGUUGCUGCUGCUGCAUCCACAUCCCGGCAGUGGAGACCUGGACCUUAGUUACCUGGGGAGCGUGAGAGUCAUGCCGCAUAAUGAGCUGGCGUUGGUCAGCGGAGUCGGAAUUCUGGCCACAAAGCGAACAACUGUCUUUGGCUUCCUUGGCGGGACAAGUGAAGGGCUGUGAAGGAACGCAAGAUAAUAACAAGAACCAAUAAAUCGCUUAGACACAUAAAACUGUGAGGUAGGAAGUGAUUCAGGUACAAGGCAAUACCUAAAGUACGUUGAGGGUAGAAAUGUCCUCCGCCCAAGAUACAAAGUGGUUCUGAGAAGACUUUGAGGGAGGCCAUGAACACUGAACAGGGCCACUGCCGGGAAAGGAUAGGCUAUGCACAUCGGAAAUUCCUCAAACGACAGCUCAGGCAGGAGGAGAAGGGCAGAACAAACGCUGGAAGGUGGGAAAUAGGUGUGCAAGACACGUGGCAGUCCUCUGGAUCACCAGCCAGUGUGAACAAAGUCCAGCGUUGUCAGCAGGGGGUUCUCUGCUGCUGUGACAUGCCAUGCCUUCAGCUGGACUAGGAGCCUUGGAGUGGACUGGGAGUCAUGUUCAUAGAAGGAUAGCAAUGGGAUCCUGACUUAAUGUUUGCCCAGACCCUACAAUGAACUUAGCACCUAGGAAGCAUGCAGUGAUACUGAUUCAACCGAACUAUGAUCAUCUUCGUUGGUCACCCAAUCCUGCCUGCUACCCGCUCUGACUCAGGACUCGGGGCUCCUGGGUGUUCUAGGCUGGGUCGUACCCUAAAGGAUGAUGGUCUCCGGCUUCCAGGGCCUCCCGCCGGCAGGGGCUCCAGGAUGUUGCUGGGAAUGUAACCAGUCUGUCCUGCCUCAUUCUCCACCAGCCACCAACGCUUGCUCUGGUCCAGAACCUAACAAGAGUCACCCCGUCGUCAGCCCCCAGAGCCCUGUCCUCCCAUCCCCUCUCUCCCCAAGGCUUUGUCCUUCCCUGGUAUUCCCACUUUCCUGUUCUCUCUGUAAGCCACCCACUCCAGGCCACUGGAUCUCCCACCAACCACCUCUUUUUUUUUAGAUUCACGCAUAGGCCUCACCUCCAGAACCUCUCCCUGGGCCACAGUCAGUUCCUGUGCAUUCCUUGCUUCAAACUCAUACAGGACUUGCAUUUUCAGGGCUCGUUUGGCAGGCCUGGGGCUGGAGGCUGGGAGGUGUGAGUCCUCGUGUUCGGAGCCGUGGUUGUAUGGCUCAUCCUGAGGGAAUCGCAGGCUGCUGCUCCUCCUGGAGUUGAGAACGUUUCCACUAGUGGGAUUUCCUGGAUCUUGAUUCUGCUCUGAGCACUUUAUACCUGAACUGUGAGGACUAGAGGCUACAUGAAGAAGCAUUUCAGAGGCUAGGAGGAUCAGGUCUUGGCUCCACACUCGACCCUGCGCAUCCAUCUCCUGAAGCUUCUGCAGGGCAUCCUUCGGUUCCCGGACUCUCUGUGUCCCCAGCUUGCAUGUCAUCAGAUGCUAAGGGUUCUGUAGGAGAGGAGCAGUCUACUUCCUGCCCCUGGACCUCAAGCCUCACUCCUGCCCGGGCGCAGUUCCUCCCACUGUGCCCACACUUCCAGCACCUCAGCAGGACCCACAGGCCUGUCAUCUUGAAUGCACCUCCCCUUGCUCUUGCUUGAGGGGCCUCCGUGAAGCCAGUUCCCAGGCCCACUCUACAGAGAAACUGGACAGUGGCUGGGAAGCCCUUUCUCCACGGCACUGUGGGCUGCCUACUUGUCUCCUAGCACCCGAGGCUGCCAGGGUCGGGGUGGGUUCUGUGGCCCCUUGCCAUGCACUCUGGCCACCUCCAUGUGCCUGGUUAAGCAAGCUCUCUGACCACAUCCUUGCAGUUUAAAAGCCAAUUCAAAUGACCAGCUCUCGAAGUGCCAGCUAUGCAUUUGGGUGGGGCCAGUGACUCCAUUCCAGUGGCUCAGCCUGGCCCGGGAGUGCAGGAUGUCUCCCCUCUGUGACACUGACCCUUAUAGCUGCAACCUUCAUACCUUCUUCCUCACAGCCAUAUGCAACCCUGAACAAUGUACAGGAGGUGGGGUGGACAAUAAAGAGGUUGGUAGGAUGGCUUUCUGUGGGUCUUGACUCACUCACUCCUGCCGAGGGACCCAGCAUCCACCCCCACGACCUCCAGCUGGGCCUGCUCUGCCCACCCUGGGACUACUCUUCACUCCCCUGAACCUGGCAGAUGUUCAGGCCCCAGGCUUGCUGAAUCUGGCUCCCCGGAGUUCGGUCAGGUUGAGCUGUUGUGUCAGGGUCAGGUGUAUCUGUUUUCGUAAGGCAGUGGACACACGGGAACUCGGAGCUCUACCCAGAAACUGCCUGGGCCCCAGGACCCCAGGGGUACUCACCUCCACCCUGUGCUGCAGGAGGGUAGGUUCUGAGGCCAUGCUCUGGGAAUAUUCCUUCCGGUGCACUGUGGGAACAAAGUCAA